rnacentral:rRNA from 1 species
AUUGAACGCUGGCGGCAUGCCUUACACAUGCAAGUCGAACGGUAACAGGUCUUCGGAUGCUGACGAGUGGCGAACGGGUGAGUAAUACAUCGGAACGUGCCUAGUAGUGGGGGAUAACUACUCGAAAGAGUGGCUAAUACCGCAUGAGAUCUACGGAUGAAAGCAGGGGAUCGCAAGACCUUGUGCUACUAGAGCGGCCGAUGGCAGAUUAGGCAGUUGGUGGGAUAAAAGCUUACCAAGCCGACGAUCUGUAGCUGGUCUGAGAGGACGAUCAGCCACACUGGGACUGAGACACGGCCCAGACUCCUACGGGAGGCAGCAGUGGGGAAUUUUGGACAAUGGGCGAAAGCCUGAUCCAGCAAUGCCGCGUGCAGGAUGAAGGCCUUCGGGUUGUAAACUGCUUUUGUACGGAACGAAAAGCCCCGGGUUAAUACCCUGGGGUCAUGGCGGUACCGUAAGAAUAAGCACCGGCUAACUACGUGCCAGCCGCCGCGGUAA